CGUCACACCAUGGGAGUGGGUUGCACCAGAAGUAGAUAGCUUAACCUUCGGGAGGGCGUUUACCACGGUGUGAUUCAUGACUGGGGUGAAGUCGUAACAAGGUAACCCUAGGGGAACCUGGGGUUGGAUCACCUCCUUACCUUAA
rnacentral:rRNA from 1 species